AUUGAACGCUGGCGGCAGGCCUAACACAUGCAAGUCGAACGAGUGGCGGACGGGUGAGUAAUGUCUGGGAAACUGCCUGAUGGAGGGGGAUAACUACUGGAAACGGUAGCUAAUACCGCAUACCAUCGGAUGUGCCCAGAUGGGAUUAGCUAGUAGGUGGGGUAAAGGCUCACCUAGGCGACGAUCCCUAGCUGGUCUUAGAGGAUGACAGGACACACUGGAACUGAGACAGGGUGCCGAGUCCUGAGGGUGGCAUCGGUGGGGAAUAUUGCACAAGGGGGGCCAGCCUGAUGCAGCCAUGCCGCGUGUAUGAGGAAGGCCUUCGGGUUGUAAAGUACUUUCAGCGGGUAGGCGUUACCCGCAGAAGAAGCACCGGCGAACUCCGGGCCAGCCGCCGCGGUAAUAC
rnacentral:rRNA from 1 species